rnacentral:tmRNA from 1 species
GGGGGCGUACAUGGUUUCGACGGGGAUCGCGGGGGCAGGAUAAGCGAGCCGAAGCCCCGAGCUUCGAUAAAAUCGGGAAAAACAAAAUUUAACUGGCGAAUCUAAUUUCGUACCCGUAGCUGCCUAACGCGCAGCUGCCGUCCGCCCACAGCUGCCCACGACUGUGGAUACGGGCGUGAUCAAUGUGGGGAACCAACCUGCGUAAGCUUUGCCGCAGGCGGGAUCUGAUGAAGCUACCGAAGUUAUAAGCCUGCUUAUGGGCGUAUAACGGAGGGAACGUCAAAACAUAAGCUACGCUCGUAGAAAGUGCUGCUGAUGGGUUUUCGGACAGGGGUUCGACUCCCCUCGCCUCCACCA